rnacentral:tRNA from 1 species
ACAUUGGUAGUUCAGUGGUAGAAUUCUUACCUUCCAUGCAGGAGACCUGAUUUCAACCCCUGGCCAGUGUA